AUGCUCUGGUUUCUCCUCAGAUUAUAUCAAUCUUUUGCCUUUUACUAAAGAUUUCUGUGGAGAGGAAAAAUUCUGAGUUUUAAUACAAUUUUUUGAGGCCUUACAUCAGCAGCGCU
rnacentral:snRNA from 1 species